GACGAACGCUGGCGGCGCGCUUAACACAUGCAAGUCGAGCGAGAACCAGGGCUUCGGCUCUGGGGACAGCGGCGAACGGGUGAGUAACACGUGAGUAAUCUGCCCUCGACACUGGGAUAGCCCGGGGAAACCCGGAUUAAUACCGGAUAGCCUUUCGAGCUCUCGGGCUCGUCAGAAAAGGAUGGCUUCGGCUUUCGGUUGAGGAUGAGCUUGCGGCGGAUUAGCUUGUUGGUGAGGAACGGCUCACCAAGGCGACAAUCCGUAGCUGGUCUGAGAGGACGAUCAGCCACACUGGGACUGAGACACGGCCCAGACUCCUACGGGAGGCAGCAGUGGGGAAUCUUGCGCAAAUGAGCGAAAGCUUGACGCAGCGACGCCGCGUGAGGGAAGAAGGCCUCGG
rnacentral:rRNA from 1 species